AUAAUGUCAUCAUGACAGGGAGAGUACAGUGAAGGAGAUCAGCUGGAACCUUUUCUUUCCUCCGUCCGGAAAGGACCCUGGCUGCACUAACGGCCCAAGCAGAUGGAGAUUGCAGGCGAUUUUUAGAUGCAUCGCAUGGUUUAGCCAAAAUGAAGAUGGCUUGGGGGCACCAUCUUCUGUCAAGGUGUAAGAUUCCUGAGCGCGGGAGGCUCACAGAUGCCUCACACCGAAGGCAGACGGACUGAAACAGAGAGAGCACCAAGGAAGUGGCAGCCAGGCCUCAGGGAGUGCUCCCCAGGCUGACCUGCUGAGUGGGGCACCUGCACAAGCAGCUACGGGGGAAGCAUAUCAUUUUGGCUGCUACGGGCAAUCAGCCCUUCACAGAAUCCGAGGACUGAAAGAAAACUCCUCCGCUGUCACUUGAGGCUGACCAACUCCCUGUUUAAGUAAAAGCAGCUAGUUCCCAGUUCCACAGUGAGGCCAACCAAUACAAUGUGAGGACGGUGGUACACCAAAGGGAAGAGGCCUGGGUUCUCAGUCACCACGGGAAGGAAAGUUACCCUCAGCCCGGCAACUGCCCACUUAACCGACACGUUAAAACACGUUUUAUGGUAUUGAGCCACUGAAAUCCUGCGGUUUCCUUUUUUACAGCAAGA